rnacentral:sRNA from 1 species
UCCCUAAUGGCAGCCAUGUGGCGGGG